UUGAUUUUAUUAGUUUUUGUAAAGUAACUCAAGCUUGUUCUACACUAUAAAGAUUGUCAUUGAUACCAAAAAUGCUUAAGACUCACUCAGCGCUGAAAGCUACCAGGCAGGUGGCAGUGUAUUCCUCUUCCAGUGAGGCAAUCAGUGCUUGCUGGCUUCACCAAAAAAACUUGCGUGUGUUAGAGAAUCACAUCUACUUAAAUAUUCAACCAACUACAUACCAGGCCCUGUUCUAAGAGGUGCUGGAAAUAACAGGAUGAACAAACCAAACCUGCCCUCAGGGAGCUGACAUUCUAGUGGGUAAAGACAGCAGUAAGUAAAAGUAAUAGACUAUCAAAGAAGGUUCCCCUGAGAAGAUGAUAUUGGAGCAGACUUAAAGGAGAUGAGGAAAUGAGCUGAGGAAGAAUGUUGCUUGCAGAGGGAACAGUGAGUACAGAGACCAUUUCAAAGGCCUGGAGGGAAAGGGGGCCCCCUGGAAAUUCUGAGAGUGGAGUGACGUGAUCCGGCUUCUGACAUCACCACCUCAGGGGAGAAUGUCCAAGUUAGGAGUUGGCAAACUCUGACUUGCCCAUGCCAAAUCCAACUUGAGGACCUUUUCUUUGAGACAAGAGUCUUCCUCUGUUGCCCAGGCUGGAGUGCAGUGGUGCAGGAUGAUUUUACCUACAUUUGCAGGGAUGUUUCGAGGAUUAAAUAAGAUACAUAUGUGUCAUGUCCAGCAUGAGGCAUGGUGAAUGGGAGUUAGUCAGUGAAUAUUGGUUGCCUCAUUCAUUCUCCUGAUGUGUAAGUGCCUCAAGAGGAAGUAUUUUGUUCUAACUUUUUUUUAAUCCCCCUGCAGUGACUAAGAUAGUACCUCGGACAAGUAGGCAUCUGGUAAACAUAUCUUGGAGUAAAUUAUACUUGGAGAUUGGAUAUUCUAGUUUUCAUUUGCCUUGCAUUUCACAAUUUCAUCUCUCUCUCUGGCUUGUGGCAUAGCUAAGCUCUGUUCUUGCCAGUGCUCUCAGUCGUGAUGGAACCUGUUCAUUUCAUGGCUUAAACUUUUGGCCUUCCUUUUCUAGUUUUGUUAGAAUUUUUUUAUUCUGAAUUAAUUUAAACUUGGAUGAGUUUUGUGUUUUGUUGUUCCCAAGCUAAUGAUGAGCAUUUACAUAAAGAUGAAGCUUCCCUGAGAAUCAGAAGCAGCGUGGAUUAUAUGGUAGGAGGGAAAACACAUGCACAUACACACACACCUACCCACCCACCCCUCAACAACUUAGUUAAGAAUGCAAAGUAGAAUAGCUUCUUCCUCUGCCCAGCAGCGUAAGCAGUACUCAAAUAUUACAAAUGUCCCAAUUUUUAAAAAAAAUUUGGGAACAUUCUUUGUUAAAAUUUGAUGUGUAAAGAAAGGAAGGUAUUUGUGGCCCAUAUACAAGAAUCCCUAAAGGAAGGAAAGUAGACCAUGGCAAGUAACAGCUGCUGGGCGAGGCUAUGAGGGGGCGCAGGCUGUGGUCGUAGAAUGGGUUCUCAGGUUUGCCUUCAUGAAUGGUUCACAUUAUCCAUCUCCAUCUGAUGGGUCAGCUUUGUGCUGCUCUGACUCUCCCCAAGAAACACUGAACAUUUUCCCUGGGCCAGCAGCAGGGUCCCUCGGAUCUUCCAGUCCUGGGAACACUGAGCACCAAGGAGAUGGAAGAUCAGCCCUGGGGAGACCCCCAGCCUGGUCUUGGUUCCCUUCCCCAGUGCGGGGAGUCUCUUCCUUUCAAGUUUCCACAUCUGUGAAUUACAGGCAGCAUACAUCCUAAUCAAUGCCUGAGCUGCUCAAUGAAAGCCAGUAAUCAAAAUUUUUGAUUUCUCUGCAGAUGGCCAAUCUAAAGGGCACUUUUGCUUUUCCCAGGUCAACUGUAAGUUCAUUUAAUGAAUGGCUAACUCAGGUGAUCCAGGGCAAUAGAUGUCUAUUCAUUAGGUGUUCAAGAAGCAAGUGGCUUGGCUGACUUCAUGGUAGUUAGGGGUGUCCAGUGCAGGACGGGAUGUUAACCCAGGAAAUUGUUCUGUAAUUCUUCUCUAGCCAUUUAUACAGUAAAUAUAGAACAUCUGCUGUGUAUGAGACACUGUGAUUGUCAUCCAUUCUUAGGAAUUCACUAGACCGUUUGUUUCCCAGCUUUUCUUUUGAAUUAAAAUCUUCCACAAGCUAAGGGAAGUUUCUCUGCUUGGACUCUACACCUAAAGGCUCCCAUCCGCCUCCGAGGUAGACUCAGGUCAUCUUAGACAACCCAGAACUCUGAGGCAGAGUUUUGAACCCCACUGCAGUAGAGCACAAACUGCUGAGAUCAAGGGCCGUGUUUUCCUCCACUUUGUACCUCUGCACUCAGCAUAGGGCUUGGCACAAAAGAGUUACAAAUAACCAUGUGUCUUUGAAGGACUCUCCAAAGUAAAUGGGGUCAGAGAGUGGCGAUGGGGGACUGAUAUAUAGCAUGUGAGGAAAGAGUAUUCAUCAGUAACUCUAAGACAGGGGAGAAAACUGUGUUACAGAAAAAACAGCAGGCGAAGAUGUGCCCACGUCUGGAAGACGUGAUGUGGGGAAAGAGGCUCUUAACACCCCCAUGGUUCCACCGCAGCCAGCUAGUGGGACUCUUCUUUAGGAUAACAAGACCAACUAUUUCUGCCAUUUGAUAAAGGAGGAAAGUAUGGGGCUGAUCCAGUGUUAAGUUGUUGCUCAAGUGGUGGUCAGGUUUUCUGACUUCCAGCAGGUGGACAAGAACCACAGAAACACAGAUGAGCAUGACACAGUCAGGGCUGGAGAAGUGGCCAGUGGCCAGGAA